GGGCGUAUGGUUGUAGUUGGUUAUCACGCUCGCUUAGCAUUGCUUGACAUUUACGUAAGCUUGCGAGAGGUGUCCGGUUCAAUUCCGGAUUCGUCCA